rnacentral:rRNA from 1 species
AUGGGGCAUGUGUUAGACCUAAGCCUUCAUCUCUAUGGUUGCCGGGUGAUCCAGAAGGCUUUUGAAAUAAGCGAUAUUGAUCAACAAAUAGAGAUGGCCAAGGAGCUUGAUAGCAACCUAUUCAAAUGUAUCUGUGAUCAACAUGCAAACCAUGCCGUUCAGAAAUGCAUGGAGUCUGUGCAGCCGCAAUAUAUCCAAUUCAUCUAUAGACGUUUAUGUGGCAAUGCCAAGAUGUUAUCCACCCAUCCUUACGGAUGCCAUGUGGUUCAGAAAAUGUUGGAGUUCUGCAAGGAUCCUAAAUUUAUGGACAGGUUUAUCAUGGAGAUUCUAGAUUGUGCAAGGGAGUUGUCUAUAGACCCAUAUGGAAACUAUGUUGUGCACUACAUUGUGGAGCAUGGGGGGCCUCGUCAUCGAGAAAUUAUUAUGUUGAAAUUUGCUGGGAGAAUAGUACAGAUGACCCACCAAAAGCACUCUUCCAAAGUCAUUGAGAAGUGCCUAAUCUAUGGCAGCUACCACGAUUGCAAGCUUCUCAUAAAUGAGAUCCUUUGUGCAGGCGGUGGUCAAACUGCAGAUCAUAUCGUGGGCAUGAUAGUCCACCAGUAUGCAAACAAUGUGGUGCGGCAGAUGAUUGACGUGGUGAACGAUUGGCAGUUCAACGUGAUCGUGGAUGUGUUGAGGCGCAACAGGGACACCUUGGUCAUGUAUGCCCAAGGGAGGCAGGUCAUCGCGCAGGUCGAGAGGCUCCUCAAUGGCAUGGCACCUUCCCCUGACUCCCUUGUGCAAACAUCAUCGUCCCAGUUCAUCUAG